rnacentral:rRNA from 1 species
UACGUAGGGUGCAAGCGUUGUCCGGAAUUAUUGGGCGUAAAGAGCUCGUAGGCGGUCUGUCGCGUCGGCUGUGAAAACUCGGGGCUCAACCCCGAGCCUGCAGUCGAUACGGGCAGACUAGAGUGCGGUAGGGGAGACUGGAAUUCCUGGUGUAGCGGUGAAAUGCGCAGAUAUCAGGAGGAACACCGAUGGCGAAGGCAGUGUUCUGGGCCAGUACUGACGCUGAGGAGCGAAAGCGUGGGGAGCAAACAGG